GCCCAGACUCCUACGGGAGGCAGCAGUGGGGAAUAUUGCACAAUGGGGGAAACCCUGAUGCAGCGACGCCGCGUGAGCGAUGAAGUAUUUCGGUAUGUAAAGCUCUAUCAGCAGGGAAGAAGAUGACGGUACCUGACUAAGAAGCCCCGGCUAACUACGUGCCAGUAGCCGCGGUAAUACGUAGGGGGCAAGCGUUAUCCGGAUUUACUGGGUGUAAAGGGAGCGUAGACGGCGAUGCAAGCCAGAUGUGAAAGCCCGGGGCUCAAACCCGGGACUGCAUUUGGAACUGUGUGGCUGGAGUGUCGGAGAGGCAGGCGGAAUUCCUAGUGUAGCGGUGAAAUGCGUAGAUAUUAGGAGGAACACCAGUGGCGAAGGCGGCCUGCUGGACGAUGACUGACGUUGAGGCUCGAAAGCGUGGGGAGCAAACAGGAUGAGAUACCCGCGUA
rnacentral:rRNA from 1 species